rnacentral:rRNA from 1 species
UACAGAGGUCCCGAGCGUUGUUCGGAUUCACUGGGCGUAAAGGGUGCGUAGGUGGUGAGGUAAGUCGGAUGUGAAAACUCGGAACUCAACUCCGAAAUGGCAUUGGAAACUACCUUGCUGGAGGGUUGGAGAAGGAACUGGAAUUCUCGGUGUAGCAGUGAAAUGCGUAGAUAUCGAGAGGAACACCAAUGGCGAAGGCGAGUCCCUGGACAACACCUAACACUGAGGCACGAAAGCUAGGGGAACAAACAGG